UACGUAGGGGGCGAGCGUUGUCCGGAAUCAUUGGGCGUAAAGCGCGCGUAGGCGGCCCGGUAAGUCCGUUGUGAAAGUCAAAGGCUCAACCUUUGAACGCCGAUGGAUACUGUCGGGCUCGAGUACGGAAGAGGCGAGUGGAAUUCCUGGUGUAGCGGUGAAAUGCGCAGAUAUCAGGAGGAACACCGAUUGCGAAGGCAGCUCGCUGGGACGUGACUGACGCUGAGACGCGAAAGCGUGGGGAGCAAACAGG
rnacentral:rRNA from 1 species